AUGGCUCCCACGAAAACACGUACACCGCCAACGGAAGGGCAAGGGAACAAUACGCGCGGACACGGCUCCGGCCCCCUCCUCCCCCGGUCACCCUGGGGCGGUGGUCGGCGUGACCCCCAGCCAGGAGCCGGGAACCGGGGAGGGUGCAGGGUUGCCCGCGGCCCCCUCCCGGCCGGCGCCGUCCGCCGGGGAGGAUCAAAGUCCGCGGAGCAGGGCGCGGCGGAUGCUCCCACCGCGCAGCCCCAAGCGGGCACCCCCGAACAAGCACCCCAGGCGGGCACCCCCGGAUACCUUGCGGCGGCGGGCGGGCGCCGUCAUCUCCGCGCUUCUCGGCCCGAGAGGGACUCGAAAGUAUGUAGGAGAAAAGUUUCCCCUCCCACAUGGGGGGGAGGAUGUCGGGGGAGAGAGGGCGGAAGAUGGAGAGCAGCGCUGGGAAGAUGUUUCUGGCCGGCGGUGCGCGCACCAUCCGAGUCCCGGCGGUGCUGGUUAAAAAUAAAUUCCGCGGCGGGCGCGGUGGCGCGGGUCGGGCCGGAUUCCUGCGCUCGGACGGCUAAUAUGGAUGCGCAUCAGGUCCUGGCGGCGGGGCGCUGCGGCGGCCGCGGCGGCUCGCGCUGGGAGCUGGUUGGCAGAGCCGGCAGCUCGGGAAGGGGAAAAGGAGCGGAGGAAGGGGAGGAGGAGGAGGAGGAGGGGGAGGAGGGGAGGAGGAGGAGGAGCGGCCCGGCGCGCUGCCCGAGGGGAGAGGGCUGCCCAGCUCAUCCCCGGCCGGCCCCACCGCCCCGAGCGCACGUAGCGCGGCGUGGGUCGCUCGGGUCCUCGGCUCCGGGAAACGCCGAGUUUAAAAAGUACAACGCGCUCGGCACACUUCACCCUCCCCAUCCCCAAAAGUUCUUUAAAAGGUCGCUCCCGCUCAGCCCUAGACAUCUCGCUGCCACCCGAGUACCGGGCGCCGGAACCCCGGGCGCGUACUUACGGCCCGGCAGGGCUCUUGGCUCCCAGGCAUGA
rnacentral:lncRNA from 1 species